GACGAACGCUGACGGCGUGCUUAACACAUGCAAGUCAAGGGGGCCCAGCAAUGGGCAACCGGCGAACGGGUGCGUAACACGUGAGCAACCUACCGAACUGUGGGGGAUAGCCGGCCUAACGGCCGAGUAAUACCGCAUACGCUCUCAGUGAGGCAUUUCAUUGAGAGGAAACCUACGGGACAGAUCGAGGGGCUCGCGGCCUAUCAGCUAGUUGGCGAGGUAACGGCNCACCAAGGCAACGACGGGUAGCUGGUCUGAGAGGAUGGCCAGCCACAUUGGGACUGAGAUACGGCCCAGACUCCUACGGGAGGCAGCAGUGGGGAAUCUUGCGCAAUGGCCGAAAGGCUGACGCAGCGACGCCGCGUGGAGGAUAACGC
rnacentral:rRNA from 1 species